AUAUGUGGGUGGCCAACCAGUUAAGUUAAUAAGUGCUUCAAGAUUGAUCCGAGAAUUGUUUCCGUGGUGUAUCAAUCUUCUUCUUUUCAACAACAAUUGGAUUAUCAUCGAAAUCGUGCUCCACAUUCCCUCAUGAAUGGCCUUGACAACAGCAUAACCUCCUCGUCGGAAUCAUACCCAACACGAAGUGCAUCCGACGCCAACAUGAAACCCACAUCUUUCUCAGAAAAAUCUAUACCGAAACAUCCUCAUCAUCGUCCCUACACAUCUCCACCUUCUCUUUCGCUGGAUAUAUUACCGAAAUCAAUAUCAUCAACAUUUUCGCGGCGUUAUUGGCGACGGCGGCCAUGUUGGUAGCGUCUCGAUCAUCGUAUUCAAUGUUGUCUAGGUCGGUGUAUUCGUAAUUGUUGUGAGCAGCACCACCAGAACGAGAGCAAGGUGGUCGCUCGAAGUUGUAGAUUGGUUGGCGAUUGAUGCCGAAGCGUUCGAAUCCGAACUUUCUCUUCAACAUGUGUGAUUGGAUUUAAUGAACGGAAGGACGUUGAAUAUGCACGCAAGUUGUUCGACAAAAUGCCGGAGAAAAACUUGGUUACAGGUUUUUCAGUCCUAACAUCUCUUCAUAUUGAUUAUCCAAUGUUGUUUGAUCUCUGCAAUGCUGCUGCUGAGCGGGUUUCUCACUCUGGGGUUUUGGAGUUCAUUGCAGAAGAAGUUUGGAGACAACGCUGAGGAACUUUUCUUGCUUAACCACAGGGGAUAGUAUUAUGGUGGCAUACAACAACACAAAAUAUUACAUAGACAUUAUAGAAACAAAUCCUUCUAAUGCAGUAAGUAUCAUUGAAACAGACUACGAGGUGGAUUUUUCACCUCCACUUGACUACAAGGAACCGGAAAAACCACUUGCAUCUGCUUCUGCAAGCCAGGCACUGGCAGAAGGUCAAGAGGCUCCGGAGCUUCCUCUGGGUCCAAAGACAAACGACCUGAAGUCACCAAUGGUGGUGCCGGGUCUAGUUCACAAGGUACCUCUCGUCGGUCUCAGGGAAAGCUUGUGUUCGGGGGCUCAAAUGUAAACCGUGCUAAGGAAACACAAAAGGAAGCUGCAAAAGAGACUAAACUGGAGCAGCCCCAACAGAAAGAAGAGCCAAAGUUCCAGCCUUUUUCGGGGAAUAAAUACUCACUGAAGGGUUGAUUGGAUUCUAUAGAAUCAAUGUCUUUAACUUAUAUUGUUCCCAUUCACCUGCGGGUCAGAAUUACAAGGACUACAUUGAACUGAAAGUAACACCAAAGAAUGAAACAGUGGGUUGUUUCAAAAUGAAGAAUAGAAUAUUUCUUUUGUGAAGUUCAUUAUUUGCUUGCGAUUGUGGCUGCAUUUUUCAAAGUUUGUGCAUGUUCUGUUUUUGCAUCCUGUGCCACCUCUCUCUCUCUCUAUCUCUCCGUGUCUCUUAAAUGGCUGCUUCACAGGCUGGUUAAUGUUUUGCUUUCCCUUUCUUCAUUCCUGUACGGCCAUUUCUGUAUUGACGAUGAUGUCAUGAAAGCUCGUAGGUCAUCUGUAGUGCAGAACAAUGGCCAACAGUUCUUUAUUUCUUUACAGUCACGCGUCGAUUAGGUGCCCAUUCCGUGAAGACAAUCACUAGCUUUAUCUGCUGGCUGUUUUUGGUGGUCAAACCACAUUUUUGUACUCAGUUGCAAGAGCUUUAAAACCCUCUUCAUUCCUGCACCCUUCUUUCUACGAUAUUUGGCAAGAGCAAAACUCCGGAGUCUUUGAAAGCAAAUCAUGUUCCCAAAAUUCAGUGAUGAAUUGUAUCAACUCUCCAUCGGAGCAAUGGGAGUUGAGGUACGCGGUGCCAUGUUAUUUCUUUUUAAUAUACACAUUUUUUUUCAGAUCAGUCCCACUUUGCUUUGUGCUUACCAUGGUAUUUUGUAUUUCAUCUGAGGAAAGUUUGGAAGGAAAAUUGUUCGGAGAGGAUCUUGUUCCAAAUUUUUUAUUUUUCAGAUUAAUAAAUACUCACACGACAUGCUCGAACUACUUCCCUCCUCUUUGAAGAUGGGAGGUUGUACCAUUGAUCCCGAAACCCUUUAGUCUUUCGUUAACAGAUGACCUCAUGACAGGUUUUCACAGUGAAAUUGAUGGAAAAGUAACACCUGUGAAAUGAGACUUUUUGUUUGCCAACUAUGAAAUUCAAAGCUUUUACUGUACCAAUUGCACGAACUACUGUUUUGGUAGGGUAUCCGAAGCCCGAUUUCAGUAGAUGUGGAUCACUAAAGUCUAAUCAUUAAAACUUUACAUACUAACACUUGGAUUGUAGGCAGCAGGUUGGUGUGGGAUGAAUUAUUAAUGCAUGAUAACAGUCUUGUCUUUCUUGUGCAAGUGGCCUUGGCCGGCCAAUCAACGUUAGAUACGUCAAAAAAUAUGUAUGUAUAUAUAUUUAUUAAAUUUGUACAUUUUUGAUACAAUUACUUGUGCCUGUAUUGGAUUCUUGGAUACCAUAUAAU